rnacentral:rRNA from 1 species
GGACUGAGAUACGGCCCAGACUCCUACGGGAGGCAGCAGUGGGGAAUAUUGCACAAUGGGCGCAAGCCUGAUGCAGCGACGCCGCGUGGGGGAUGACGGCCUUCGGGUUGUAAACCUCUUUCAGUAGGGACGAAGCGCAAGUGACGGUACCUACAGAAGAAGCACCGGCCAACUACGUGCCAGCAGCCGCGGUAAUACGUAGGGUGCGAGCGUUGUCCGGAAUUACUGGGCGUAAAGAGCUUGUAGGUGGUUUGUCNCNUUGUUCGUGAAAUCUCACGGCUUAACUGUGAGCGUGCGGGCGAUACGGGCAGACUAGAGUACUGCAGGGGAGACCUGGAAUUCCUA